GGAGAGCGAGCGCAAGGGUUUAUUUCUCAUCUGACCAGAGGGCUGUGUGACCUUGGGCAAGUCACGAAGCUCUGCGUGUCACUUUCCUUAUCUGCAUAAUGGAUCUGACAGGAAGCGAGGGGUUACCAUGUUUCAUAAACUCCAAGGUUUACAAAGGUCACCCGGGACCUCUGUCUUUGUCACCACCCUCUCUGGCUUCUCAGAGGACAAAGAAGGGAGGAACAGUGCGGGGAUUUCAUUAGGCGGCUCAGGCCUCUCACCCAGCGUCCACCUGUAUGCUAGGUAGAUGCGUCUCGACCUUGCACCGAGGGAAGAAACUGAUCCCUCGAGACUCUGCCACUGGGCACAGAAGACCUUUUUUGGAGCCUACACACCUAGCUGUGAGGUUCCCGCCAUCUGCCAACCCCUCCUUCUACCCUCCAGUGGGCCUCACUCUCUGAGGCAGGCAGGGCUGUGAGGCCAGCGGCAGUGUGACCAAGGCCCCACCGGGCAGGUGGCCAAAAGCAACAGAGAGGACACAAGGACCUAGGGGCACAGCUCCACCUCAUGCCUGGGUCUCCGCCCUGCUGUGCAGAGGAGCCAGAAGAACCACCGAUCCUGAUUUAAGACCAGAAGACAAGCUUCGAGGCCUGGAAGAGCCCAGGGAGCUCGCCCUUAAGUCCAGAGGGGUCUACGUUCCUGGGAUGUGUGUGUGAGAGGUCCCGUUACCACAGAGGGCCCUAAGAGAUGGGGCUAAGUGGCCAUCAUGCAUCCAGCUCUGGCUAUCCUGUCAGGGAUAGUCCUCAGGGCCAUGGAAAGCUCCAGAAAGCUCCAGAAAGCUUUGGCUACACACUCCCGAGGACACAAGCGGAUGAGCUGGGGAGACAGGAGCUUUAGUUACAGUCGCAGCGUUUAGAUUUCCUGACUAUGCCACCAGCGACGACCGUAAAGCAACUCGUGUGGUGAGGUCUGGGGUUCUAAGCCUCGCAGAACCCCAAACCAACUGCCACCGCCAGAAACCCAACCACUGCUUCCAAAGAGGUUUUAAAGACAUCCUCAUGAAGGGCAGACGUAAAUACAGCUCUGCUUCGAGUCUGUGGAUGGAUGGGGUCGGAGCAGGGGGGUGGUGGUCAUGCGAUUUCCCGACCCACACAGCUAGAAGAACAAAUGCAUCCGCAAAACCACCUCCUAACAGAGCAACCUCAAGGACUAGCACAUGGCUUGGCUUGGCUCUCUGCUCUGGUCCAGAGCUUAGGACAGAGCCUGGCACACAAUAAACAAUCAAAGCAGAA